rnacentral:rRNA from 1 species
UACGUAGGGUGCAAGCGUUGUCCGGAAUUAUUGGGCGUAAAGAGCUCGUAGGCGGUUUGUCGCGUCUGCUGUGAAAACUCGGGGCUUAACUCCGGGCCUGCAGUGGGUACGGGCAGACUAGAGUGCGGUAGGGGAGACUGGAAUUCCUGGUGUAGCGGUGAAAUGCGCAGAUAUCAGGAGGAACACCGGUGGCGAAGGCGGGUCUCUGGGCCGUAACUGACGCUGAGGCGCGAAAGCGUGGGUAGCAAACGGG